AUAUGUAGAUCUUAUUUUAUGGUUAUAAGAUUUGAUCUUAUGCAUGCUUAAAUUAAAUUAGAUUUAAUCUGAAUUUUAAUUUCUGCUAUAUACUUAUUUUAAAAAUUUUUGCAUGUAUGAAAACAUGAAAUCCCAACAAUCCCUUCUUUCCCACACCUACAUCUUUCCUAUGCAGUCAUUAGCCUUCUACAGAUCCAUUUUCUGUGCUCCUAAUUUUCUAUUCUCCCAUAUUCCAUCAGAUUUUCAUGAUUGCUGAAUUUGAAAUUCAUUUUGUUGUCGCAGGCAAUUCUUCACAUGCUUGGAUCAAAUCUCCUUGAACUUGGACAACUAAAAGAUUUGCUAACAACUAUGGCC
rnacentral:lncRNA from 1 species